UCAGUCGACUCCUACGGGGAGGCAGCAGUAGGGAAUCUUCCACAAUGGACGAAAGUCUGAUGGAGCAACGCCGCGUGAACGAUGAAGGCUUUCGGGGUCGUAAAGUUCUGUUGUAAGGGGAAGAACAAGUGCCGCAGGCAAUGGCGGCACCUUGACGGUACCUUGCGAGAAAGCCACGGCUAACUACGUGCCAGCAGCCGCGGUAAUACGUAGGUGGCAAGCGUUGUCCGGAAUUAUUGGGCGUAAAGCGCGCGCAGGCGGCCUCUUAAGUCUGAUGUGAAAGACCCCCGGCUCAACCGGGGAGGGGCCAUUGGAAACUGGGAGGCUUGAGUAUAGGAGAGAAGAGUGGAAUUCCACGUGUAGCGGUGAAAUGCGUAGAGAUGUGGAGGAACACCAGUGGCGAAGGCGACUCUUUGGCCUAUAACUGACGCUGAGGCGCGAAAGCGUGGGGAGCAAACAGGAUUAGAUACCCUGGUAG
rnacentral:rRNA from 1 species